rnacentral:lncRNA from 1 species
GAUUCUGGAAAGACUCAAAUUAUGGAAAAGGUGUGAUCAUUGGUGUCAUUGACACGGGAGUUUUCCCUGACCACCCUUCAUUUAGCGACGAUGGGAUGCCCCCACCCCCUGCUAAAUGGAAGGGUAAGUGUGAAUUUAAUGUCCCAAAGUGUAACAACAAGCUCAUUGGAGCAAGGUACUUCCAGUCCUCGGGGAACGGGUCACCAUGGGACGAAAAUGGACAUGGUACGCACACUGCUAGCAGAAAUGGAAGGGCAAGUGUGAAUUUGAUGUCCCAAAGUGUAACAACAAGCUCAUUGGCGCGAGGUACUUUCAGUCCUCAGGGGAUGGGACACCACUGGACGAAGAUGGACAUGGUACGCACACUUCUAGCACGG